GAGGCAGCAGCUGGGGAAUAUUGCACAAUGGGCGGAAGCCUGAUGCAGUGACGCCGCGAUGGGGGAUGACGGCCUUCGGGUUGUAAACUCCUUUCACCAUCGACGAAGGGUUUCUGACGGUAGAUGGAGAAGAAGCACCGGCUAACUACGUGCCAGCAGCCGCGGUAAUACGUAGGGUGCGAGCGUUGUCCGGAAUUACUGGGCGUAAAGAGCUCGUAGGUGGUUUGUCGCGUCGUCUGUGAAAUUCCGGGGCUUAACUCCGGGCGUGCAGGCGAUACGGGCAUAACUUGAGUACUGUAGGGGAGACUGGAAUUCCUGGUGUAGCGGUGAAAUGCGCAGAUAUCAGGAGGAACACCGGUGGCGAAGGCGGGUCUCUGGGCAGUAUCUGACGCUGAGGAGCGAAAGCAUGGGGAGCGAACAGGAUUAGAUACCCUGGUAGUCCAUGCCGUAAACGGUGGGCGCUAGGUGUGGGUUUCCUUCCACGGGAUCCGUGCCGUAGCUAACGCAUUAAGCGCCCCGCCUGGGGA
rnacentral:rRNA from 1 species